CUUCAGAUUUUCACUUAAACAAGGAUAAAAAUAAGCAAAAUAGUACACAUACUUCCUUUAGCCUGACGAUUCUUGAAGAGUUUAGGUGAAAUUUAUGAAUUCUAAGACUUACCAAGUAACCAUAUGUUAGGCAAUAUGGUUUAAUAGUGCAUACAAAAUGAGAAUGACCAACAUGCUUGUCAGUAGCAGCUUCCGCAUGUGAAAAAUCCUCGUCUGACGACUUGAUGCAGGGGCUUGGUAUUUCUAUUACAUCAUCGGGGCUUGGUAUUUCUGCAAGUGGCUGUUUCCAAGCCUCGAAUCCGUGACCUCCUGGUCACAUGGCAGCAACUUUACGUACCAGUUACGCCAAGGCUCCUCUUUAUCAAUAGUAUAACAUGAUAUGAGAAAACUUACCCUGAAACUUCCUCAUUGGAGUUUCUGCAGUAGUAACAACAUGAAAUUUCCAUAUAGAUGUUUCUUCAUCAGUAACAACUUCAAACACAAUAUGAUCUCCCUCCUUUAACCGAUUAUCAACAAUGAAUUUACGCCAUCCAUCUCCAAUACGGACUCGAUUGUUGCAAUCAGAACUUAGCUUUAAAUUCCAUAACCUUUGUCUUUCAUCUCUUAUAAUCAAAUCGCACUUCUUGUUGGAGAGACCAUUUGCAAAUUGUUGAGGAAGGUACUGACAAAGUGUAUUACCAUUUGAACACAUCAUUAAAACAUUUCAUAUUCUUCAGAUUUUCACUUAAACAAGGAUAAAAAUAAGCAAAAUAGUACACAUACUUCCUUUAGCCUGAAGAUUCUUGAAGAGUUUAGGUGAAAUUAAUGAGUUCUAAGACUUACCAUGUAACCAUAUGUUAGGCAAUAUGGUUUAAUAGUGCAUACAAAAUGAGAAUGACCAACAUGCUUGUCAGUAGCAGCUUCCGCACGUGAAGAAUCCUCGUCUGACAACUUGAUGCCGGGGC
rnacentral:lncRNA from 1 species